CUUUACACAUGCAAGUCGAGCGGCAGCGCGGGGCAACCUGGCGGCGAGCGGCGAACGGGUGAGUAAUGCAUCGGAACGUACCUAUGAGUGGGGGAUAACUAUCCGAAAGGAUGGCUAAUACCGCAUACGCCCUGAGGGGGAAAGGGGGGGAUCGCAAGACCUCUCGCUGAUAGAGCGGCCGAUGUUCGAUUAGCUAGUUGGUGAGGUAAAGGCUCACCAAGGCGACGAUCGAUAGCUGGUCUGAGAGGACGACCAGCCACACUGGAACUGAGACACGGUCCAGACUCCUACGGGAGGCAGCAGUGGGGAAUUUUGGACAAUGGGGGCAACCCUGAUCCAGCCAUUCCGCGUGAGUGAAGAAGGCCUUCGGGUUGUAAAGCUCUUUCGGCAGGAACGAAACGGUGGCGACUAAUACUCGUUACUAAUGACGGUACCUGAAGAAGAAGCACCGGCUAACUACGUGCCAGCAGCCGCGGUAAUACGUAGGGUGCGAGCGUUAAUCGGAAUUACUG
rnacentral:rRNA from 1 species